UACGUAGGGAGCAAGCGUUGUCCGGAAUCAUUGGGCGUAAAGCGCGCGUAGGUGGCCUCAUAAGUCCGCUGUGAAAGUCAAAGGCUCAACCUUUGAAAGCCGGUGGAUACUGUGAGGCUAGAGUACGGAAGAGGCGAGUGGAAUUCCUGGUGUAGCGGUGGAAUGCGCAGAUAUCAGGAGGAACACCAAUAGCGAAGGCAGCUCGCUGGGACGUUACUGACACUGAGGCGCGAAAGCCAGGGGAGCAAACGGG
rnacentral:rRNA from 1 species